CAAGCCCUUCAUUCUGCAGCUGAGGCUCACUGCCCCCAGUGGGCAGUGGGUCCAGGGGGUUUCUGAGGACAGGGCAUGACCCAGCCCUGCUGCCCCCAAGAUGGCACCUGGCUUGGAGGGGUGAGGGGCCCUGUUAGUCUGACUUUGAAGAAGACCAGCCUUCCAGACUCGCUUGGUGCCCUGACAGGUAUGUGUGCUCUUCUCUCUCCCACCUAACAGCCCCUUUUGGGAGACAGGGUCUGAGAGGAGUCAGGGUCGUAUAACCUUAACACAGUGUGUUAUCCAAAAACCCACUAACCCUGUUACUCUUGUCUGUCUGCUAUGUGAAACCAAGGGCGGUGUUAAAGUUUAUCACCAUGAUAUACAGAUGUGCGUGGGGACAUCUGGGAUGGGGCUCAGGGGUCUACCUGGAGGUCAGAGAGGGCAGGAUCUGCUUAGGGGAGAUGGAUGACUGUGGGGGUCAGACAGGGCAGGGUUUGCUUAGGGGAGAUGGAUGACUGUGGACAUGUGGCUGUAAAUCAUCCUCCCCGUCUUACAUAGGAUGGGGAUGCAACUUUCAAGAGUUGCCUUGAUUGGUACCUUAAAGGAAAUAAAACAUAAAAUGCUUGGCACAUAGUAGAUGCUCAACACAUGUAGAAAAGGCACUUAUUUUAGGUGGAUCUGCCGCCGAAUGGCCCUUUUGCAAGCUCUUCUCAUUUUUUGGAAUCCAAAGGGAAGGUGUGGGGAGCAGGGUCGGGGUGGAGGGGAAGGACGACGUGAGGUUGCAGAGGGCAUUUUCUUGAGGCAAUGGCAUAUCUUUCAUUGGUACUGGCUGGGUUUAUGCGGACUUUGAGAGGAGUGGAGUGUCUCCAAGUGGGGCUACCCCAGCCUGCAGGUUGGAUGCAGGUAACCUCAGUCUGGGCACUGCAUUUUUAUUUACCAUAAAAAUAUUUCAUAUUUGCUGGGUGUGGUGGCUCACGCUUAUAAUCCCAGCACUUUCGGAGGCCGAGGCCGGUGGAUCACCUGAGGCCAGGAGUUUGAGACCAGCCUGGCCAACAUGGUGAAACCCCGUCUCUACAAAAAUACACAAAAUUAGCUGGGCGUGGUGGUGCAUGCCUGUAGUUCCAGCUACUCAGGAGACUGAGGCAUGAGAAUUGCUCGAACCUGGAAGGCAGAAGUUGCAGUUAGCCGAGAUUGCACCAUUGCACUCCAGCCUGGGUGACAGCAAGACUCCGUCUCAAAAAAAAAAAAAAGAAAGAAAAAUUGCAAAACUAUAGCAAUCACCUCAAGGUUUUCACAGGAAUCAAACUCAGUCCAAACUAAAAUGCUGUGUAAUAAAUAGUGGGGCUUCACGUGCAGGAAAGGCGAUUAAGAGCGAGGCAUGCAGGCCGAGGGCUGCUUAACCUGUCUCAGAUUUCUUCCGCACAAAGUCAUGGUUGAAAAUAGGUCUCUGCCUGGCAGAGGGUAAAGAAGUUCUCGAAGGCCUCUGUCUGCAUUAGCUUGGUGAGAGGGAAGACAUUUAACCAAUUAACCAAUUAGUGAUCUGUGCGGAUGGAGACUGAGCAGGACGAGGGUGCCACCCGACUGGGUGUAAAGUGGGCUUAGUUUUGUCUUCUUGGUGUCUGGGAGCCUCAGUGCCUUUCUACGUAGAUGGGAGUAUGCUUGUCACAUCCUUGUCACACAAGUAACCCUGUGCCUGUUUGAGGAUUCCAAGAGCCUGUGACGGCUGCAGGGGGCCCUGAAGCUUAGUGUGCAAGCAGGAGCUGGGGACAGAGGGGCUUCUGACGGGAGUCGGGGUGCCUCCUCUGGAUGUGGGGGUGGGCUAGGGUGGGCAAAGGUUGCUUCCCGUUCUCCUGCAGCUGACAGUUAGAAAUGCCAGUGCCGUUUAGCCACAGUCCCUCUGGGUUAGAGUCGGGAAGAAACAUGGCAGUUGUGUGUUUUGCACAGGAAUCAAGCUGUCAGGGGGCACAGUGAGGCCCCAGCUCCUUACCAGCAAGCCGUCUAGGCUGCGAACGCGAGCCGCCGGGCCGCAGCUCUCUAGAGGUCCCUGUCCCCACCGCCUGGCCCCAUCUCAUGUCACAUUCCCCCAAGGUCUCAUUCCACUCGGCUAAUCUCCAAGAACACCGGCCAGGGCAUUGGCUUUCGGGUCCUUUUAAAGACCAAAAAGUAAAGCACUCCCCCGUGGGUGCUGGACAGCUUGGGAGGGAUUUGGGGCUGUGGGUGGUGAAAUCACAGCCCUGGGCACACACCUGCCAGCCCGAUGUCACUGACAGGCUGCUCGGAGGCUUGGGGCUCCAGUGAGAGCAUAUAGAUAUUUUUUAAAAAACAUAUUCGCGAUAAAAUAAAUCCCCUGUGUCUGCAGAACUUGCUCUGGGCAUGUACCCACUCCCAAUCCAUCAGGAAACAUGCCCUUUGCUUUGUAUUUGUAAAAACAGAAACAAAAACAAAAACAACCCACAGGCGAACAAGCAAAUUAAAUCCCCCCCACACAAAAUGUUUAUUCUAAUUAUGCAAGAAAUGGAUUGAUAAUUAAUACACGCAUUAGUAAAAAUCAAACACUGCAGAUAAAGCCAUCUUUAAUGCUUCCCUCGAUCCCUCCCCAUCACCCCCCAGCAAAUUAACUGCUCUUCUCAGUUUCAGGCGUCUGGUUCCAGAUAUUUUUUUCUGUGCAUUUGCAUAUGUAGAUAAAUAUACCUCUAAAAUCUAUGACUUUGUUUAUUUUUUACAUAAACUAUAUCAUAGUGUACAUUUCCUCUCGCAGCAGCUUGUGUUUCUUCCUUCAAGAGUCUGCUUAGAGAUAAUAAAGAUCAACACUAUUCCUUAUAACAACACCUCAGUAUCCUGCGAGCUGUACACACCAGAGUUUAUUUAACCACCUUGCUGCUGGCAUGAAAGCCUCAGGAGCCCUGGGCUCCCCCAGUGUUGCCUGGGUCUGACUUUGCCUCAGUGAAAACUGCCUCGAAUUCUUUCUUGCACCGAUGGGCAGAUGGGCAGUGUCGGAGGAUCGUGUCAUCUGUCCCGUGGCGCUGGUUGGCUUGGUCAAGUCAGUGUUCAAACUAUCUCCUGCUCUUUCAAGGGGAUCUGGGGCUCUAGAAGAUUAGAGGACUUGGAGAGGUUAGUGACUUGCUCGAGGUCGGCUAGGAAGCAAGACCCAGGAUUCCAACUCAGGUCUGUGUGAUUCCUCUGCAAAAUGGAGAGGUGGAAGGAUGGAUGUCAGGUCUGAUGGAUGGAUGGAUGCCUACAUCAAGAUACAUGCAUAGAUGGAGAGAUGGCUGGCUACCUCAUGAAUGCUGGUAAGAUGGAUGAGUGAAUUGAAGCACAGGUGGUGGAAGGAGAGAGGAAUGAGAGAGGAUAGUCAAUUUCCCACCAAGAUCAAAGGCUUACUUGAUCUUUGAAGAGAGGUUCCCUCUGAAUGGAGCUUGCUGGUGAAGCUCCUGCCUUCUGUUCUGCUUCUGAGCGCACUGACUGGCUCAGGUGGCUCUGGGACAACAGGUGGGAUGCCAGCUUACAGGGACCAAGUCCCAGCUGUGGUGCUGGAGCUGCUCAGUGGCAACUCUCCGUCUCUGCUGCUUUCACGCAGCACUGACGAAGAGCAGGCAUCCGCCUUUCCACUGGCUCUCCUGGAUGACUAAGCCCUAAGCCCCAACCGCAUACUCAGCCCUUCACUGGCACUUGGCAUAAUUUUAUCUCCUCUAAAUCAUCACAGCCACCCUCCAUGAUAGCAAUUUCUAUUCUCAAUUAAGUGAAAAGGAAACCGAAGUUUAGGAGUGGUAAGUGACUUACCCAAAAUCGUAUAAGGAGGAAAUGCAGACCCAGGAUUUGAACUCGAGUCUUCUUUCCUUCCAAACUCAUCCCCUCAACCUGUUUAUUUCCUUUUCUCUAUGACCAUGUCUGAAGAAAUCUGCCUUGGGGUUGUCUCAUAUUGGACUCACUCUCUUGGUCUGUCAGUGAGCUGAACUUCUCAUCCAAUCAAAUCCAAGCUUAUUUCCCAAGUAAUAUCUCUAGUGUAUUCUAUUUGUAAUGAUCACACAGGCAAGGGCCACACAUAUCACUGGCAUCCUACAGUACAAUUAAUCAAGUCAAAUUAGAUUCCUGGCAUCUCAUAUUCUGACUGAAUGCUAAUGGUAGUAGAUGUAAAAAUGACUCCAGUGCAAGGCAAGGAGGGAGGGGACUGGAUGUAGGGCUGAAUGGCGAAUCAGUAAGCCUUGCUGCAGACCUGGGUUAACAUUAGCAGAUAGGUUUUGAGAACCUGCUCAUGGGCUAGGCCCUACUUCACACAUUCUAGGUGCUAAGGUUUCAAUCUCAGCUUUGCCAUUGACUACUUUUGUGAGUUUGGACAAGGUAUUUAAUUUCUGUGCCGCGUUUUCUUCAGUUGUACCAACAGUACCUUACUAAUACCGAUAGUACCUUACUAAUGAGUACUUGAGGAUUAAAUGAGGCAAACAUAUAAAUUCCUUAAAAGAGAGCAUUCCAGGCUGGGCAUGGUGGCUUAUGCCUGUAAUCCCAGCACUUUGGGAGGCUGAGGUGGGAGGAUCCCUUGAGCCCAGGAGUUCGAGACCAGCCUGAGAAACAUAGGGAGACCCCAAUCUCUACAAAAUAUUUAAAAAUUAUCUGGGUGUAGUGGUG
rnacentral:lncRNA from 1 species